ensembl:lncRNA
GGUUUUUCUAGUGUGUUCUGAGUGGUUACUUAGGUGUUGCUAUGUGGUUGCUAGGGUGUUCUGGGUGGUUUCUAAGGUAUUCUGGGCUAUUUCUAGGGUGUUGUUAUGCAAUUGCUAGUGUGUUCUGAGUGGUUACUUAGGUGUUGCUAUGUGGUUGCUAGGUUGUUUCCGAUGCUAAAAAAAGCCAAAAACACAUUUAAUUCUUAUUUCAGUUCCACACAUCACUUGUAUCUCCUUCUCUGUAGACGAUCUGUGAAUCUCACCUCAUCUCUGACCGUUUCUGAUUCUGAAUGAAACUCUACAAGUCUGUCUAUAUCCAGAAACACUGGAAUAAACAAAAACAAUUAUAAGUUUAAAUCAGGACUUCAUCAAGAAAAGAAUAUGACAUAUAGGAGAGACCGGGGCAAGUUGUCACAGGGUCUGUAUUUCUAUGGAGGGAUUAUUGGGUCAGAUUAUAAACUAAAAUCUGACCCAAUAAUCCCUCCAUAUAUUUCAGUAACGUUUUUCAGUAAAUGACACAAAUACUUUAAAACUUAAAUAAACACAAUAAAACAAACUGACGUACAUUAAGAUACGAAUCAGCUAUAUAAUGAAGUUUAAUAGGGGCAAGUUGUCACAAAUUUUAAAAGCUAGAAGUUACAUUUUAGUAGUUUUUAAGUACUGUUUAUUAGAACAACGACACAAUGAUUUGAAUUUUCUGUGUGUUACUUUUUGUUAAAAAGCCUAAAUUAAAAUGUAAUAACAUCCUGUUUAAUGUCAGGUUUCAUUGUGACAACCUGCCCCAUACAAAUGUCAACAUGCGUUAACUGAACCGGAAAAUAAUUUUGGGAGGAGUUUAUUCUUACUCAUAAUACAAACCAACAGCUGCUUAUCUCACGCCUCCAUCCACCUCCACAAACCCCACCUUGUCCUUGUUUUAUCACUGCUAUGUAUUAACCAACUCUUGAAGGCUUUCAUGCUAUUUAUUAUAUAUACUGAAAUAAAUACCGUGACAGCUAGCCUCGGCCUUCCUUUUCUGUAAUAAUAAGGCAAACGUAACACAGACAAAAUACUCACUGUUUGGUUUUUGCUCCAUGCUGUCUCUGCGAAUAAUCUUCAGUGAUUCUUUAGACUUUGAGUCUUUCUCUCUGCUGCCCAUCUCUCAUUUAAUGCCUUUAUCUCUUCUCACAUGUGAUCUGUCACAUAUCACCGUCCCUCCACAAUCUCCUCUAGAAUGUAAAAAGUGAAUCGAUGAGGAGCAGAAACAUCCACAUCAGCUCUGUGUGUUACUGAAAAUCCUGUAAUAUCUCCCUGAUGACUGAAGAGAACAGAACAAGAGCUCAGAGAGAAGAAAUGCACCGAGAGAGACAGAGAGCGAUAAUGAAAAGGGUUUAGUGAGACCUGUGCUGUCAUAUGCCACCC